ACGCUCGACACCUACGGGAGGAGCAGUGGGGAAUAUUGCACAAUGGGGGAAACCCUGAUGCAGCGACGCCGCGUGAGCGAAGAAGUAUUUCGGUAUGUAAAGCUCUAGUACAGCAGGGAACGAAACUGACGGUACCUGACUAAGAAGCACCGGCUAAAUACGUGCCAGCAGCCGCGGGUAAUCGUGAGCGGGCUGGCAAGGC
rnacentral:rRNA from 1 species